rnacentral:rRNA from 1 species
CGUAAGGUCCGAGCGUUGUCCGGAAUCAUUGGGCGUAAAGGGUACGUAGGCGGCCAAACAAGUUAGAAGUGAAAUCCUAUAGCUCAACUAUAGUAAGCUUUUAAAACUAUUUGGCUUGAGAUAUGGAAGGGAAAGUGGAAUUCCUAGUGUAGCGGUGAAAUGCGCAGAUAUUAGGAGGAAUACCGGUGGCGAAGGCGACUUUCUGGCCAUGAUCUGACGCUGAGGUACGAAAGCGUGGGUAGCAAACAGGAUU